AGCGGCCGGAAUCGCAAAGUUAGAGUGUCAGUCAGCUGUUUUCCCCAAAAUGUUUUUUAUCGCUUUUUAGCCUCCCAAAACGCCCUUUUCUGCCCUUUUAGUGCUCUAAAUGCCUCCCAAUCCAGCAAUAAAUAACAUUCCAGUAAUUUUCAUCAGUUCAUCAGUUAAACACAUCAAUUUGGAUGGAGUUGUAGCCAAGAGGAGAAAAGUGAAAGAAAGAUAGGUUAGGGAAAAGAUUUGUGGGUGUUUUUCUCAGUGAAAAUUUAGUUUGGAGAGCCAAAAGGAAGGGAUCCCAGGUAAUAGUAGAAUGCAUCGAGGUAGAUAAUUGUUGGAGGAGCUGUGGUAAAAAAAAAUGGAAGACGAGGAGGAGGCUCUCUUGGCUCGUGCUCAGGCGGAACGGGAAAAGAUUUUUCAGAAGUACGAGCGUGGCAGGGAGCCUGGAGCAGAGAUUGAUCCAUGGGAAGAUCCAGAUUUCUCCCUAUAUAAGCAUACAGACAGAUAUGGGUUUAUCCAUAAACAUACAUUGCCCGCAAGGCAGGAUUUGGGAACUACACGUCGACGGGAGAUUGAACUGGAGAGGGAAAAGAAGUGGCUGAAGAUGCUGCCAAAGUGGCAACGGAAGGAUACGCAGGAGAAGCUGAGAAGUCGCAUUUUCAAAGGAAUCCCCAACAAAUUGCGUCCAGAAGUGUGGCUGAAGCUUCUGGGCGUGAAAGAUGUGAUGAAGAAAUGGCCAACGGUGUACCGGGAAAUGCUCAGAAGAGCACGACUUUUCUCCACGGAGGUCAGGCAGAUCGAUUCAGAUGUCAAUAGGCAAUUCCGGGAGCAUAUGAUCUUCCGAGAAAGGUACAGUGUGAAGCAGCAGAGUUUAUUCAAUGUCCUGGCAGCCUACAGUAUGUACAACUCAGAAGUGGGCUACUGCCAGGGGAUGUCAAGUGUCGCGGGACUGUUACUGAUGUACAUGGAUGAAGAAGAGGCUUUCUGGGCACUCAAUAUUCUAUUCACAGAAGAGAAAUAUGCCAUGCACGGGCUAUUUAUCGAAGGAUUCCCCAAACUGACGCGCUUCUUAGGCCACCACGAUAGGCUUCUGGAGAGAUUUAUGCCAAGGCUCAAGAGGCACCUGGACAAACACCAUGUGGACUCAGUUCUCUACUCACUGAAAUGGUUCUUUGUGGUUUUCGUGGAGAGAGUUCCAUUCAGUUUGGCGCUAAGGGUUUGGGAUGUGUACCUGCUGGAGGGAGAGCGAGUGAUGACAGCCAUGGCCUACACAAUUCUCAAAAUGCACAAAAAUCGUCUAAUGCGCCUCCGGGACAUGGAUCUCAUCAUUGAAUUCCUGCAAGUGAAGCUCCAUUCGGACUUUGGCUAUGACGAUGACUUCGUGAUAAGGACUCUAGGGCAUAUCAUGACAGAUUUGAGGCGGGUCAAGAUGGACCUACCGCCACCACCGGCAGCCUCUGAGCGUCCCAAAUGCACUUUUGGAGAAAUUGUGGAGGCUUCAGUGGAAAAGAAAAUUGGCCGCAGGAGAUCUGUGUUCACAGAAACCGAACUCAAUGUUCACAAUGUUGUCAUCAGCCGACGGGAACAACUCGAAUCGACGGAUUUAUCAGAAUCUCGCAUCUCCGAUGAACUCCCUGAUGAAUUUUUCGGCACAAACACCUCUGCAAUUAUGUCGUACAGAAGUGAGAAUAGUCUCUGUACGUCUGUGGCCUCGAGCAACAGCUCAGUGGCCAGUUCGACGGAUUGUGUGACGAAAUUGUAGACAGAUGCAAUAUACUCAGAAAUUGUAUGGACCACUUUUAAUUUCUCCUUAUCCUUUUUUUUUACUUUUUUGAAGAUGAUUUAGAUUUGUCUAAGAGAUCUACGCGUGAAGUAUCUUUCGAGACAUCUUUUUCGUCUAC